UUAAUUUCUUUAUUUUGUUUGAAAAAUCCAAAAAGAGGCUUAUUUGUUUUGCACAAUCUAACAUGGCUAGGAAUAUCUUGUAUUUACACACGGAACACAUGAGUUUGCCGACGUUUAAAUGUAAUUACUAAUCCAGCACUUCAUGAUUCAUUAAAAUACAAAUAUGUACAAAAUCAAUGAACCCUACUUGUCAAAAAUACUUUUAAACUCCGUAGAACGGGAUACUGGGGGAAUAACUCUAUAAUGGGUUUUACUAGGUUAAUAUCUAAAAAAAAAAAAUUUUAUUAAACAUUUAUAAAAAUUGUCAGAAAAAUGGCUGGAUCAAGUUCACACAUGGAAACAAAGGAGAACAAGGGAAAUAAAGGAGAAUUAAAACAUCUUUCUACAGAAGAAAGUCAGGAAAUAUUUGCAGUACUCUCUACAGAGGAGAAGGAGGUUUUUAGAGAAGCUUUCAGUAAAUUUGAUAAAGAUGGUAGUGGAAAUAUUAGCA